rnacentral:rRNA from 1 species
AGUGAACGCUGGCGGUAGGCCUAACACAUGCAAGUCGAACGGCAGCACAGUAAGAGCUUGCUCUUACGGGUGGCGAGUGGCGGACGGGUGAGGAAUACAUCGGAAUCUACUUUUUCGUGGGGGAUAACGUAGGGAAACUUACGCUAAUACCGCAUACGACCUACGGGUGAAAGCAGGGGAUCUUCGGACCUUGCGCGAUUGAAUGAGCCGAUGUCGGAUUAGCUAGUUGGCGGGGUAAAGGCCCACCAAGGCGACGAUCCGUAGCUGGUCUGAGAGGAUGAUAGGCCACACUGGAACUGGGAAAGGGUCAAGACUCUUAGGGGAGGAAGAAGUGGGAAAUAUUGGACAUGGGCGCAAGCCUGAUCCAGCCAUACCGCGUGGGUGAAGAAGGCCUUCGGGUUGUAAAGCCCUUUUGUUGGGAAAGAAAGGCAGCAGGUUAAUACCCCGCUGUUCUGACGGUACCCAAAGAAUAAGCACCGGCUAACUUCGUG